rnacentral:lncRNA from 1 species
UGGGGGCAUGAAACGAGCAGGAAACUAACCUGGAUUGUAUAACCUUUCAUAGUGAUUGAAUUCAGUCACUACGGGCAUGUGACUUUUAUUUUUAUUUCUAUUUAUUUAUUUAUUUAUUUGAGACACAGUCUCACUCCGUCACCCAGCCUGGAGUAGAGUGGCACGAUCUCGGCUCACCGCAAACUCUGCCUCCCGGGUUCAAGCAAUUCUUGUGCUUUAGCCUACUGAGUAGCUGAAAUUACAGGCGCAUGCCACCAUGCCCAACUAAUUUUUGUAUUUUUAGUAGACACAGGUUGUGAUCUGCCCACCUCGGCCUCCCAAAGUGCUGGGAUUACGGAUGUGAGCCACCGCACCCAGCCACCACUUUAGUUCUUUUACUCAUCCCUGCUGUGAGUUCUUGGCUUGCAGAUGUUGUAAGAUGUCAUAAUAUUCGGCUAUUCCAUUAAACAGUGUCUGCUUUGAGUGCCCAGCCCCUCUGACUGCAGAUGAAAAAGGCAUCACAGCCCUUUGGUAUCUCACACCAUCAACCUUCCUUCCCCUCCUGUAUGAGCAGCAGCAUGGUCAGGAUGGUGUAUAGCUUGGAGGAGGGAAAGUAAGGGCUGCUCUGGGGCAGGGAGGGUGACUGAGAUCAGUCUCACCAGGUAGUCCCCUCCUUGGAGAGAGACCCUAGAGCCGCAUGGUCUGGGUUCAGAUUCCAACUUCCCUACUUAGCGCUGGUAAGAUGGUCCAUGCAGCCACCCUUUGCCUUAGUUUUUCCAUCUGUGAAAUGGGAAUGAUAUCCGUGAGGUGGCCCAGUGUGUUAGUACAGGCAGGGGGCUCCCAGCAGCACCCAGCAUGCACUAAGAUGUUGUUGAAUAAGUAGAAGCAGGGACCAGACUUAGAGAUGAAUGAGGCUGCAGAAGCUGGGGGGAGACUUACGCAUUCUUCUGCCUCCCUCCUUGAGUCACCAUUUGGGUGGCAAAAUUGUUCUGGCUGAACUGUUUCCGAGGCUUUUGACCUUCUGAGGACCUGUGGGGCUUGAUGGGGCUGUGGAGAAGCCAGCAGGGUCAGUGCGGGGCCUGAGCAGAGGAGGCCAGGUGGGUUUCUCCAGGGUUGGUGGCACAGGGGCCUGAGCAGAGGAGGCCAGGUGGGUUUCUCCAGGGUUGGUGGCACAGGGUUCCACCAGGCAGGCCUGGCUUCAAACUGGGCUCUGCCAUUUACCAGGUUCCCACCUGCCCCACUGGAUCCUGGUUUCCCAAUCUGUAGAAUGGGGAUGACUUUAUACCACAGCAUAAAGCCUUCAACUCGUGUUCACCACUGAGACAGACACUGGGUAUUUAGACUAGAGCUUGGGACCCAUAUACAAGGGCUGCUAGGGCGGAGCUCAGGACUGAAGCACUACUUACGUGAGAAGGCGAGAGGCCCUGGAGGGCUUCACCUGGUUGUGCCUGGUCCCUGAAGCAUUCAGGUUUCGGGUAAAGCCCUGGGCACAGCUCUGCGGCCCUCACAUUGGGGGGUCCCUGAUAUGGAGGGCUGGUAGCUCACGCUGCAUGUCACUGCGAGCCAGCUAGGAGGCUGUUGGAAGAUGGCCGGAGGGAGAGAAUAAGUUGGAGACCGAGGGGACAGCCAUGGUCUGAGGACCACUGCUGAAGGAGAUCCAACUACUUUGCAGAGUGGAAGAAGGACCCAGCAGCCAUUUUGUGCCGUCGGGACAGGAGGAUGGGGUGGCCGUGCUGCCGCGGUGGCCACAGGUUACAUCCUACCUGGCAUCUUUCUAAGAUGAAGAGCUGCAGUGGAGGAGGGGCCCCCACGUGGGUGAAAGUUCCUCUCCCCUGCAGGCCUGGGAGGAGGGAGGGGAGGAAGCUGGAGUGCUGCCCCCUUGGCUGUCUGGAGCUCAUCUGCUCUGCCCCCGGUCGGGGAGGUGACCAGGGAGCCGAGGGGGCCUUGGGCUCAAACGCGAAGUCCCGUUUUGAACGGUGCCACUUGCACUCCAGAUGUGAAACUCCAGAUGUGCUCCAGACCUCACUUUUUCUUACUUUAAAGCAAAUGUGUUUAGACUGGGACUGUGUUUGACCUCUCAAAUUCCAGGUUUUAGGUUUGCUGCAAACCUGUCCUCAACGUGGGGCUGUUUUCAGAUUUGAAGGUGAGCUAUCUUGACCUGGUUCACACCUUGUCUUGGUUUGACAUGAGCUGUUCUGGCUCCUGAGGCGUGACCUGACCCGGACCCCGUUCGCUGCCCUGUGAGGCCGGCACGGGCCACCUCUGGCAGCGCUCGUGCCUGGCCAUCACCCUUUGAUUUGGUCCCACCGGCCGCCCCAUGGCUCUAGCUGUUCCCCCACCAUGAAUCACAGCAGCCCUCGCUUCGGAUGGCUGCCGUGAGAAGAAAGUGAAUCAACCCAGCCCCUUUGGCUUUGAAUCCACUGCUCUGUCUCCUGGCUCCAGGCCCCUGUCCUGCCUCCUGGACUGGCUUGGGGACCUCUUUGGCUCCCUCAGAUCUACCAUGGCCUCCCCCAGGGGUCAAAUGCGAGUUCCACUUUUGGAAGAGGCCGGUCCAGCCCAGCUGGACAUCCUGAAGGGGAAUGGAGCAUCCCAGGCCAGGCAGCCUCUACAGCUGCCAGCCCUCUCAUGGAGCCCAGAAUCUUCUCCUGCUCUUCCAGCCAAGGGGGAGGCCCCCUGCUUGGGAGCUCCUGGGGGCUGUGGCUUGAUAGCAGCAAUCUCAGAGGUAUCUGGUGUUACUUGGGUGUUGCUGUGGGAACCUCACCACUCAUGGGUUACCCUUUACACUGGUGACCUUUUCUUUCGUGUCUGAGCAGGAUGACAUCUCAAAUGUCAAGAACUUUAAUUUUCACUUAGCAACGUCCCUGUGAGGUGAUUUCCAGCCAACUUGGAAGCGGAAAGUUCAGGCAUUUCUGAGUGGGUCGAAUAAUAACAAUUUAAAAAGGAUCCUCAAACAAAAUGAAAAAGGCCCCAGAAAACCCAGACUCUCACCGAUCCCCAAACCCCGUCAUGCUUCUGUUUCCUCAGGAAGGUGACGCGGUUUCAAGCUCUUGUUGCAUGUCAGGUGCACUGGCUAUAGUGGGAGCUGGUGGCACUAGUGAGUGGGACGUUUCAGUUCUAAAUGGAUCAGGGAAGUUGCAUCCUCCCCCAUCUCCACCACUCGCUUGCCUACCGCAGCCUCUUUCCCCACCCCCCACCUGCAGGUGUAGCUGCUGCUGUUUCUCCCGAGGCGGCCACUGAGAGCCACAGUGUUCUCCCCUCAGGGUGCCCUUUGGCUUGUUGCUUGUGGCUACUCAGCCAGGUAAGACAGCGACAUACCAUCUUCUCAACAUCUUCCCCAAGACCUGGACUAACUGUGGCAUCAGACGUAAUUGGGGUUUGAAUCCUGGCUCUGCAACUUCCACAUGGGUGGCUUAACUUGGCCAGGCGCAGUGGCUCACACCUGUAAUCCCAGCAUUCGAGGUCAGGAGAUCGAGACCAUCCUGGCUAACACGGUGAAAUCCCGUCUCUACUAAAACUACAAAAACAAAAUUAGCCGGGCGUGGUGGAGGGGGGUGCCUGUAGUCCCAGCUACUCAGGAGGCUGAGGCAGGAGAAUGGUGUGAACCCGGGAAGCGGAGCUUGCAGUGAGCUGAGAUCGCGCCACUGCACUCCAGCCUGGGCGACAGAGUGAGACUCCGUCUCAAAAAAAAAAAAAAAAAAAGUGACUUAACUUUUCUGAUUGUCAAUUUUCUUGCCCAUAAAAUAAGGAAAAAUACAUUUUAACCCGUAGAGUUGUUUCAGAGAUGAAACGAAGUGACAUAUGAGGUAUAUUUGAUAUGACAGUCAACACCAGUUAAGGGUUUAUCCUGUGCUGGUCACUAUUGUAAGCUCUUCUAAGCACUGUGUGAACUCAUUCAUUCUCCUCUAAUGACCCUUAGAGGUAGGUAACAUUAUUAUUAUCUCCAUUCUUAACAUUUUCUAAAAACAGUUAUAGUGAGAGAAAUUAACGUACUAUACAAUUUACCCAUUGAAAGUGUACAAUCCAUUGCUUCUUGGCAUAUUUUUAAAAAUUGUGGAAAAAUAUAUAAAGCUUAUCAUUUUUAUAAUUUAUAUUUUAUAAUUCAUAUCAGAACCUGGCGAUGUGAAUUAUAUUCAUAGGGUUGUGCAGCCGUCACCACUAUCAACUUCCAGACCAUUUUUAUCCCUCCCAAGUAGAAACACUGCACCAUGUUAUGCCCAUUCUACAGAUGAGAAAACCGAGGCACAGAAAGAUGAGGAAACUUGUUCAAGGUUAUGCAACCAGUGUCUGGCAGAGCCCGUGUGUGAGCUCAGGUCAUUUGGCUCAGAGCUGGUGCUCUUCACCUGCAGGAGGAGCUGGGUAUUCUGUAGCCUCUAACUGAGAACCCAUUCCGUGCCAUGCUCUUUCCUUCGGCCAUUGUAACAAGGCUGCAAGACAGACAACGAUUGCUGUUCCCAUUUUGCAGCUUAGGAAACCGAAGCUCAGGGAAGUUAGACAACUUUCUCAGGGUCACAGCCAUGGUGAGCGGCAGAGCCAGCUUUUGACCCCGGGGUCUCACUGACCCCAGAGUUCACAGCAGAGUCGCAGAGCUUUCCUGGUGUCCAGCUUAGAGAGCACACAGUAGGUGCGCGGAGUGCGAGCUGAGCUGCCCUUCGAGAUGCAGUUCCGAGGGAAGCCUAGGCCCGGGAGACCCCAGCGGGUCCUGCAGAUAAAGGAAAGUUCUCCAGUCAGCCCCGGAGGAACGCUGAUCCCGCUGAUCCCGAGGCAGGGCCCGAGGUUCCUGUUCGGGGCCUCCCUGCUGUGAAGGAGUCCUGGACCCCCGAGAGGUCCAUGGAAUUCUGCAGGGGAAGGCCUGAUAUGGAGGCCUGUGGAAGUCACCGAGGAGCCCCUCUCAUACCACCUCACACUUAUUUCUUCAGGACUUCAAAGUGCCUCGCCGGGAGGAAACCAUGGGGGUCUGCCUGAAGCUGUUAAAGUAGCCGGCAGGAUUCGAUGUGUGCCCUGAUUGCCAGGGUAGGGGCGGGGGGUGUAAAAGAGAGAAAGAUUAUACACAGGCCUAGGAAUGAUGAAAGGUCUUAAGCAAUGAGGGGGACUUGAAAAGAGGCGACCAACAGGUCGGCUGGUAUGCCUGGAGACGGGAGGCGGUGC